rfam:Oryza sativa (indica cultivar-group) chromosome 12, whole genome shotgun sequence.
AUAUUCUUAGGCCCGAUCUUGUGGCAGGAGCGAGUAGCUGGUGAACUCGCUUUAUGUUGUUCAUUCACUCGCUACACGGUUCCUGUCCCAAGAUCGAGUCUGUGAAUAU